UGAGGAUUAAGGCACUCAGUGGGGUAAGGAUCAAGAGAAGUGGCUGCUGGGUCCUUGGAGCAGGUUUCUGAACCAGUCUGAGCUGUGUGCUCACCAAAGAGCCUGUAAAGAGAAUAUCUGCUCUGUCCCAUCACUGACAUCCAGGCUGAGAUUUAGCAACAGGCUGUCCUCAUCCCCAACACACAGAUCUGUUGCCACUUCUCCUAACGUGUCUCAGCAUGCCAAGAGGUGUGACUUGAGGGAGGGCAGAAGACAGCUGGGUUGCACAUCUGGAGAAAGACUUUGGCAAUAGUUUGCAGCUCCAACACACCUCCCACCUGGGCCUGUUUCAGGGUGGGACAUGUCCUGUGCUGCACCACUACCAUGUUCCUGCUCUGUGACCCAGCCCAUCCCACAGCUGGAGAGAGGCUGUACUGCUGUAUGAGGCUUGCUGCCCUUGGGGAUGUCUGAGCUGAAGACAAGUCCUGGGGAGGUUGAAACCAGCUCCUGAAGUGUGCUGGGCAGGAAGCUUUCCUGAUGUCUGCAUCGUAAGGAAACAAGCUGAUCUCUGUCUUAGUGAUCUGGGCAACGGCUGUGGAUGGCAGAGGGAGGCAACUGGAAGGGAAUGCACCAGCACUUGCUUGCAUCUGGUAUCUUGAUCCUGCAGUUACAGAUCUGAAAAGCAAGACUAGGAGAGGUCUAAGGGUGGAUUCCUGUGUAGGGCCCUGCUUAUGGCCUUUUGGGUCUGGGGGUGUGGACCUGUUAAAGACAAAUUCUCUUAAGUAAAUUUCUGGACAGCAAACCCUGGCUGUUGGAGAGCUGCAUUUCCAUAAAGCAGCUUGUGGCUCUUGGUCACAAGAUUCACUACCAGCUCUCAGGGGAAAGGGGUUUUGGCUGCCUCUCCACUAUGCAACACUUUCCAGGCAUUACAGAACAGCUGUAUCUGAAGUGAUGCAAGGUGCUGUUGCUAACCCCAUGUCUCACUUUGUGUUAGCACAUUUCCCACAACAUCCACUCGUACUGAAGCUGGGCUAACUGGGAAGAUGGCAGAGCUGCAA